ACUCAAAUGAAUUGACGGGGACCCGCACAAGCGGUGGAGCAUGUUGUUUAAUUCGUCGCAACGCGAAGAACCUUACCUACGCUUGUAUCCUGGUAGCGGCUUUCAGAGAUGAGAGCUUCAUUUAGUUGGACCAGAGACAGGUGCUGCAUGGCUGUCGUCAGCUCGUGUCGUGAGAUGUUGGGUUAAGUCCCGCAACGAGCGCAACCCUUGUCGUAUGUUGCCAUCAGGUAAUGCUGGGCACUCAUACGAGACCGCCGGUGAUAAGCCGGAGGAAGGUGGGGACGACGUCAAGUCAUCAUGGCCCUUACGCGUAGGGCUACAAACGUGCUACAAUGGCUGUGACAGUGGGCAGCAACCUUGCAAGAGGAAGCGAAUCCCUAAAAGCAGUCUCAGUUCGGAUUGUCCUCUGCAACUCGAGGGCAUGAAGCUGGAAUCGCUAGUAAUCGUGGAUCAGCACGCCACGGUGAAUACGUUCCCGGGUCUUGUACACACCGCCCGU
rnacentral:rRNA from 1 species